rnacentral:rRNA from 1 species
GAUGAACGCUGGCGGCGUGCCUAAUACAUGCAAGUCGAGCGAACGGACGAGAAGCUUGCUUCUCUGAUGUUAGCGGCGGACGGGUGAGUAACACGUGGAUAACCUACCUAUAAGACUGGGAUAACUUCGGGAAACCGUAGCUAAUACCGGAUAAUAUUUUGAACCGCAUGGUUCAAAAGUGAAAGACGGUCUUGCUGUCACUUAUAGAUGGAUCCGCGCUGCAUUAGCUAGUUGGUAAGGUAAUGGCUUACCAAGGCAACGAUGCAUAGCCGACCUGAGAGGGUGAUCGGCCACACUGGAACUGAGACACGGUCCAGACUCCUACGGGAGGCAGCAGUAGGGAAUCUUCCGCAAUGGGCGAAAGCCUGACGGAGCAACGCCGCGUGAGUGAUGAAGGUCUUCGGAUCGUAAAACUCUGUUAUUAGGGAAGAACAUAUGUGUAAGUAACUGUGCACAUCUUGACGGUACCUAAUCAGAAAGCCACGGCUAACUACGU